GACGAACGCUGGCGGCGUGCUUAACACAUGCAAGUCGAACGGUGAAGCUCCAGCUUGCUGGAGUGGAUCAGUGGCGAACGGGUGAGUAACACGUGAGCAACCUGCCCCUGACUCUGGAAUAAGCGCUGGAAACGGCGUCUAAUACUGGAUACGAGAAGGGUCCGCAUGGGCACUUUCUGGAAAGUUUUUCGGUUGGGGAUGGGCUCGCGGCUUAUCAGCUUGUUGGUGAGGUAUUGGCUCACCAAGGCGACGACGGGUAGCCGGCCUGAGAGGGCGACCGGCCACACUGGGACUGAGAUACGGCCCAGACUCCUACGGGAGGCAGCAGUGGGGAAUAUUGCACAAUGGGCGAAAGCCUGAUGCAGCGACGCCGCGUGAGGGAUGACGGCCUUCGGGUUGUAAACCUCUUUCAGCAGGGAAGAAGCGAAAGUGACGGUACCUGCAGAAGAAGCACCGGCUAACUACGUG
rnacentral:rRNA from 1 species